UAAAACUCAAAUGAAUUGACGGGGGCCCGCACAAGCGGUGGAGCAUGUGGUUUAAUUCGAUGCAACGCGAAGAACCUUACCAACUCUUGACAUCCAGAGAACUUAGCAGAGAUGCUUUGGUGCCUUCGGGAACUCUGAGACAGGUGCUGCAUGGCUGUCGUCAGCUCGUGUUGUGAAAUGUUGGGUUAAGUCCCGCAACGGGCGCAACCCUUAUCCUUUGUUGCCAGCGGUCCGGCCGGGAACUCAAAGGAGACUGCCAGUGAUAAACUGGAGGAAGGUGGGGAUGACGUCAAGUCAUCAUGGCCCUUACGAGUAGGGCUACACACGUGCUACAAUGGCGCAUACAAAGAGAGGCGAACUCGCGAGAGCAAGCGGACCUCAUAAAGUGCGUCGUAGUCCGGAUUGGAGUCUGCAACUCGACUCCAUGAAGUCGGAAUCGCUAGUAAUCGUAGAUCAGAAUGCUACGGUGAAUACGUUCCCGGGCCUUGUACACACCGCCCGUCACACCAUGGGAGUGGGUUGCAAAAGAAGUAGGUAGCUUAACCUUCGGGAGGGCGCUUACCACUUUGCGAUUCAUGACUGGGGUGAAGUCGUAACA
rnacentral:rRNA from 1 species